AAAACGACUCUCGGCAACGGAUAUCUCGGCUCUCGCAUCGAUGAAGAACGUAGCGAAAUGCGAUACUUGGUGUGAAUUGCAGAAUCCCGUGAACCAUCGAGUCUUUGAACGCAAGUUGCGCCCGAAACCUUCUGGUCGAGGGCACGUCUGCCUGGGCGUCACGC
rnacentral:rRNA from 2 species